AUUGAACGCUGGCGGCAGGCUUAACACAUGCAAGUCGAGCGGGGUGAUGGUGCUUGCACUAUCACUUAGCGGCGGACGGGUGAGUAAUGCUUAGGAAUCUGCCUAUUAGUGGGGGACAACAUCUCGAAAGGGAUGCUAAUACCGCAUACGUCCUACGGGAGAAAGCAGGGGAUUACUUGUGACCUUGCGCUAAUAGAUGAGCCUAAGUCGGAUUAGCUAGUUGGUGGGGUAAAGGCCUACCAAGGCGACGAUCUGUAGCGGGUCUGAGAGGAUGAUCCGCCACACUGGGACUGAGACACGGCCCAGAAUCCUACGGGAGGCAGCAGUGGGGAAUAUUGGACAAUGGGGGGAACCCUGAUCCAGCCAUGCCGCGUGUGUGAAGAAGGCCUUAUGGUUGUAAAGCACUUUAAGCGAGGAGGAGGCUCUUUUGGUUAAUACCCAAGAUGAGUGGACGUUACUCGCAGAAUAAGCACCGGCUAACUCUGUGCCAGCAGCCGCGGUAA
rnacentral:rRNA from 1 species